rnacentral:tRNA from 1 species
UCCUUCUUAGCUCAGUUGGUAGAGCGCGUCAGUAGUAAUGACGAGGUCAGUCGUUCAAGUCGGCUAGAAGGAA